UACAGAGGUCUCAAGCGUUGUUCGGAUUCAUUGGGCGUAAAGGGUGCGUAGGCGGCGCGGUAAGUCGGGUGUGAAAUCUCGGAGCUUAACUCCGAAACUGCAUUCGAUACUGCCGUGCUUGAGGACUGGAGAGGAGACUGGAAUUUACGGUGUAGCGGUGAAAUGCGUAGAUAUUGUAAGGAAGACCAGUGGCGAAGGCGGGUCUCUGGACAGUUCCUGACGCUGAGGCACGAAGGCCAGGGGGAGCAAACGGG
rnacentral:rRNA from 1 species